AGGAUGAACGCUGGCGGCGUGCUUAACACAUGCAAGUCGAGCGAUGAAGGCUGGAGCUUGCUCUGGCUGGAUUAGUGGCGAACGGGUGAGUAACACGUGAGUAACCUGCCCCCGACUCUGGGAUAAGCGCUGGAAACGGCGUCUAAUACCGGAUACGAGCUUCCGCCGCAUGGUGAGGAGCUGGAAAGAAUUUCGGUCUGGGAUGGACUCGCGGCCUAUCAGCUUGUUGGUGAGGUAAUGGCUCACCAAGGCGACGACGGGUA
rnacentral:rRNA from 1 species